rnacentral:rRNA from 1 species
AUGGAGAAAGCCCAAUCAAAGACGUGUCACAUUCUUGUAGGACAAGCUAGAGCACACGAGGUUUGCCUAAAUGGCCUGGUCUACCUAAGAGAGGUUAUCAAGGAAACCUUACGGGAUCGGAAGUACUCAAAUGAGCCAGAUAAGUUCAUAAAAGAGAGAUUCAAGGACGAGGAUGGUGUCCACUUUGAGUUUACUCCUUUUGGGAUAGGGCGGAGGAUUUGCCCAGAUGUAUAA